UCUUGUUGAAGAAAACAGGAAAUUAUAUCUGCUAGCCUUAAUCUCAGAUAAAGUUUGGUGCUUUUUAAUAGUCUAUGUACAAUGUCAUUCCAGGUUCCUGAACCCAAUAAAACAUAUGCAUAUUUCGAAAUAAGUUAAACAGAGUUUAAACAGCAUCAACAAUGCAAUAAAUUAUUUCACAGCAGUAUUCAGCCUUGAUCCAGAUGAGGGUGGACUAAUGAACCAUGAGCAGUAUCCCAGAACAACCCGGCCUCCUGUGCUUCUGAUUUCAUUACCCGUGGCUGAUUUCCGUCCCUUGAAACAUCCUGAAUGACCAGGUUGUCUUCAAGCCCAUCUCCAUGAUUGAUGCAGUGAUGCUGUACCUGAUCGGCUCACGGCAAUGGAAAAUCACAUGAACCCAGGUAUUUGGAGUUCUUCAAUCCUCAACACUUGAGGAAGAAUUCAAAAACACUCCUCCAUUUUCUUGCCAGAAUUAAAUGUGCUACCAUGAACCUUUAAGGGUGGUAUGCUUUUAAAAAGAAGACAGAAGGUCUUACCUCUGACCAAAUAUGGAAUGUUGUUUAUCCAUUCUUCGAGCAAAAAUUUGUAUUCAAACGCCCUAUUAGACUGUGCAAUUCAUAUCCUUUCACCCACAGACCGCAUCUGCAGAGGUGGGAGGUCCUCUGGUGAGAAUGAUGUCAUUUAUCUUCACUGUUUGUCAGGGGGAUUCCGUAUCGUCUGGUCAUUCAGUGGAGCUGGACGGUUGCCAAGAUCAGGGGCUAUUUCAGGGUCUGGAAACUGGGAAAGGCAUGACGUCAGAGCCAUGUUUUUGGAUAUCAACCCCGGAAACUGAUAAUGAUUGUACCCAUAUAGAGAUCAUACCAAUCUUACAUUUUCAUGACCAGUGGACAAAGUAUUAAUUUACUUACUCUACUAAUACUGUAAAUGCACUAUGCAUAUGAAGCAUCUGAAAACACAACAACUGAAGGAGAGGAGGUAGUCAGUUUAAGUAGUUUUAUUACAGACACAUUUUUCUGUUCUAUUUUAGAGAUUUCAUACGUGCUAAUGCCCAGACUUGAAGCUUCUAUUUAGCUUGUUAAAAAGUUAGAUUUAUUUGACAGUUUAAUGUCUUUUGAAAUAACCAGGCAAAAAACCUGGAAAUAUCAAUAUUUCUACCAAAAAAAAAAAAAAACCUGUCAACAAGCGCAUAGAUUACUGCAGUUUCUCUGUGAAAGGAGAGUAUGAGAGGAGGGGUGGGGGGAAUUGAGCAUGUGGUAAAGACAUUUAAACUAUACUUUUCAAAGACAGCACAACAUUUUUUUCACAUUAAUAACAUAGCCAUGAUGACAUUGAAUCAGGUAACAGUCUGUUGUUUGUGAUGGCUUGUGAAAUGUUUGAUAUAAUAGCAGGUUCUAAUGUUGGAGAAUUCAUCAUUUCAAGAGGAGUGCCUGGCUCCUGCUGUGUACCAUUAACUUUUUUCCAGGGAUUUGUGAAAUCCAGUUCCUUUUCUUGUGUAGACCUUAUGAGACUAAGCUUUAUGAGACUAUCUUGCACUGCUUUUACCUUUUUCAAUCUGUUUUGCAUUGAAGCAUAUUGUGCAUUGCUACCGGAAAUUAAAACAUUUCUCUAUGUCCUUCUUAUCUGUUUUGCAAUACCAAUGUCUGAUGAUAUCAAGUACUCUACAUAAUGCAUAAUUGCGGUUUUAACUGGCUUAUUUCUGAUGUAUUUAGACAAUAGCCAAGUGUCAGAAGCACAAGCCAUGCCUGUAUUUGCAUAAGGUUGAGUGUGAUAAUAGAGAGAAUUUAACGAUUCAGGCAGAUGUGCUGCCAUCCGCUACAUGGAAUGAGUGGCAUCCAUAGUGGUCCAUUCUUACCCUUCCAUUCCAUUAACAUGCUCAGUCAACACUGGCACCAUUAGAUGAAGGAAUGAAUACCUGGCUUAUCGUAACUGUUUGCCCAUGGCUUACAGGUGCUCACCAGCUUAUACUAAUAGCUGAAAGAAUGCUUGAACUCAAAUAUUUAAAUAUUUAAAUACUUGCAGGUGACAGCUUUGGUGGGAACGAAUGGGAAAAGUUGUGAAAUGUAUUCCAGGAACACUAAAUUGCGAACAUUAUUUAGGUAUCAAACUCAUUGUAUUUAGAUUCUAAAUAUAGAUGCCCGCUCUCCAAUGGGGAAAGAAAUGUAAAAAAAACAUACAUGUGUAAUUGGCAGAGAAAUGACAUAUCUGUUCUGUGUGGUACUGUCUCUUUGCUCUCUGCUUGAGGAGUAUAAGAUCAGUAAUUCAUUUAUAAUUUUACAUCACUGUUUGUGAGUUUCUUGAUGUUUAUCAAAAUUGGGCCAUGUACACUUGAGAAAGCAUUUUGUGGGAGAGAAGCAAAUGACAUUUCGUAUCAAUUAAUCUGAACUGAAAAAAAAAAUGCUUCAUUGGAUAAACCCAAAGCUUUGCUUUGCUUUUUAGAUUUUCUCCACUGAAAAUAUGUAGGUUCAUUGAAAUUAUUAUCAUAUUAUCAUGACUGCCCUCAAUCACCUACUAUCAGAUGAUUGCUCACCCCCCCUCCCCCCCCCCCAAAACAAACGUAAUUUGUCCUAACAUUGGAGUGUCUUGGGUGGCACAGGGCUUAAAGGCUCAUUCGGAGAAACAAUGGCCGCUUGUUAGCCCUCCUCGGGACCAAACCAGCUUGUUCCUAGGGAGACCCUGAAGCUCAAGGCAUUCCAGGCAUUCCGGGGGACAAUGCUGACAGGGCCUUACAGCAGGGAUCAAACCAGCCUCCAGAAAGCAGCUUUCGCCCUGCCAAGUCUGUUAUGUAAUUAAUGUCUUCCCGUUUGCCUGCUGUUGGGCUCUGGCUGCCUCGCCGUGAUGCCGACCAGAAGCGAGGAGACUCACCCAUAUAAGGGCAAGGCUACUGUUUCGGCGCGGAGCCGUCCUUUUCCACGGAAGCCCCGGGCAGAGACGUUGAAUCCUGAUUGUAUCAGUGCUACCUGGCUGGCAGCUCUCCAGUGUGGUGCAUAAUUGGCUGUAGCAUUGCCCAGUGUUGGAAGAUUGAAGUCAGCAGGGUUCUUCUCACCUUAUUGUACAAGAGUAGCUGUCUGGAAGUAAGUAAAAGUUAAGUAAGUAAGUACAAUAAAUAAGUAAGUGAGUAAGCAAAUAAGCAAGCAAGUAAGAAAGUAAGGUAGUACAGUAAGUAAGUAGGGUAAAUAAUGAUGACUGGCUUAUGACUCAUAAGUCAGUCCUUUAACUGGCUACAGUUAGUUCUCAAACAGCAGGCUAUUCCUUUGAGUAAAUAUCGGUUUUCUGAACGUUUUCUUUGCUUUGUGCUUUUUCAUUUCAUUUCCAUGCUGCGCUGGGACUCAUAUGUGAGCCCACAGCUGACCCUAGUGGACAAAGGCCAAGCUGAAAGGACUUCAAAUAGUUAUUACUCCGCUGAGGGGGAAAGGGGAUGGAAGUAGCCUCUAAGUCGCAGACCACAAUGAAGUGACUCAUUACCCCUCUGGGGUGUCUGGCUGCAACAGUAAGACAUGUUUUUGGACAGUGUCCAGCAGUGGAAAUGGCUUGCGUUCUAAGAAGAGAUUAGAAAAGCAUUGCACAUAUAUCUUGGUCGACAACUGUAUGGUGUGAUUCCACACAGUCACACCCACACACCUCAAUUGGUCAUAAAGUGGUUAUUCCCCCAAGGUUAAGCAAUUAAGUACCUCUGCUUGCAGAAAGCUUUCAGAAUUCACUGUAUUGUUCUCCUAACGGUAUAUUAUGAGAAGCACAUGCAUUGUCUUUUUCAAUAAAAUGAAUAGUGUGCAGUGCUGGCUCUUUGUUACAUUUCAAUCACAUUUUGGAUACAUUAGCAAAUCGUUUUCUCUGAACUGGAUGCAAAUCCCUUACUGUACAUAAUUUUCAGCUUAAACCAAAUGUGCUAUUCAAUGGCAGCGUGCUGGCUCGGAAUCAUUGGUACAUGGCUAUUAUAUACAAGCUUUCAAAUUCAUGAAAAACCCAGAGUACUCAGUAUUCUCAGUAUAUGGCAUAGGAUCAGAACUGGGUCAAAUGCGUUUAUUUUUUAGAUUCAAAUACUUUUCUAUGCUUUACUGAUCUUGUCUGGUGUAUUGGAACCAAUGAAAUACUCUCAAAUGGCGCAAAACCCACCUUCUGGUCAUAAUGGCAGCCUCAAUUACACCAGGCAAGAUCAACAGAGCACAGAACAGUAUUUGAAUCCAAAACAAAUACGUAUUUGACCCAGGUCUGCAUCGAAUAUUGACAGCAUUGAAGUGAGAUUCUUUGCAGCCACUGUUCAAAGCUUGAGAGUAAGUCCCUGUAAGCUUGAAUGUUGUAUUUCCAUGCUCUUAUGUAAAACAAUGAAGUAGCAGAAAUUAAAACUUGAGUGAGGCUGAUUAAAAUUACUGCUGCUGCCAGAAAAUGUAGCACAGAAGCACAAUUCCAACACAGGAGGAAUACAGUCUCUUAUCUUUGUAUUAAGCACAACUUUGACCAUCUGAGAGGCAUUGCUGGUGAUGUACUAAAUUUUGCUUUGAUGGGAGCUUGAAAAUGUUGUAAGAUUUACAUAUUUACCUUUAGCCAUUAAUGAUGGUGUGAAAAUAGUUAAGUAUUAGGCUUUUUGAAACAUAUGAAUGAAAAAGCAAUGCCUCACACAGUGAGAUCAGCCAAGGAGUUUAACUGAACUGAGCAUUUGUCAGCAGAAUGAAACAGGAAUACUUAGACAAUUUUGACAAAAAAACUGUAUCUUGUAUAUAUAUAUUUUGCUAAAUGUGAAAAUAAAUAUAUGUGGAAAUACUA